UAUGGGUCAGGGCAGUCAGAGGGCAGGGAACGGGUUUGAAUGAGGGCAAGGGUCCUAGGGGAGCAGUCAGGAAGGGGGGGUAGUCAGGGGACAGAGAAGCAGGGUGGGUGGGGCAGGGGUCCCGGUGGAGGGUGUCAAGGAAUGCGGGGGAUGGAUGGGGCAGGAGUCCCAGUGGGUGAGGGCAGGCCACGACCUCCUUGUGAGAUGAGGAGGGAACCGGUUGUUAAGAUUUUGGCAGCUCAUCAGUGUGUAGACAGGCCCUGAGUGAGAGACCCAGAGCCUGAAAACAGGUUUCGCUGCAGCUUGGCCGGGCUCUGAGCUGACCAGAACGGCCUCUUGCUUUAACCUUCAGUGGGCUGGGCUGCCGGGGCUGGGGUCCAGGUGCCUAAGAAACCCGACUGUUCUGCCAAUGCUGGGGGAGUGGCCCUGUCACCUGGGCCGAGGGGCGUCGGGCCCUGCGGAGUGGACGGGUCUGUACCAGGGUCUGUCUCAGCUGGACUCGCUGGGCAAGGCUCCCGCGGUGAAGCCCAGCGGUUCAGUCUCAGGAGGUGGGGAGGCCGUGUGGCCUGUCCUGCAGGAAGAGAGAGACCUGUUGGGGUCUGGCACAGCAAAGGGCUUCCUCCCAGAGACUUCCCCAGCUGGGGUCCUGGCACCGACCCUGUGGAUCCACGAGCGUCUUUCCCAUCCACCGAGGCAGUGUGGCCUAGUGGAUAGAGCCCUGGACUGGGCCGGGAGAUGAGGAUUCUAUUCCCAGCUGGGUGACCUUGGGCAAGUCACCUCGCUAUUUGUGCCCCCUCUGGGAUCGCUGGCUGCCAUGACACAGACACGCUGUAACUCUGUAACGCCCUGGGCCCAGACGCUCUACCACUGCUUUGGGGGGGGCCUGAGCCAUGCGAACCCCACUGACACCAGCAGCAGGCACACAGCUCUCCCAGCAGCAAGGGGACCUGGGAGUCAGGGCAGUGGGAGCUGCUGCCACUUGGAGCUCUGAUGGUCCAGGGGGCAGGCACCUCCCAGGGAAUCCAGGACAGUGAGGGGACCGGGCUCUCUCCUAGGAGCUCCUGAAGCUGUUGGGGGCUGAAGACACAUCCCUGAGAUGGGGAAGUGUGGGGCCCGAUCUGCCCUGUGUCCCUGGGGGCGAGGGGGGACAUUAACCCUGCUCUCCCCACCAUGCCCCUGUCCUUCCCCUGAGUGGCAGCAGGAGUCACUCUGUCCCCUUCUCUCCCUGGUUCAGGAACCAACGAGGACGAGGAGGAGGAGGAGGAGGAGGAGGAAUGGGUGGACAUGGCUACAGAGGAGGCUGCUCUCAACAUCAUCCUAAAGUAGCACCAGGGCAGAGAAAAGGUGCAGGAUGAGGCCCAGCAGCUCAUGUUCCUUCACGCCAUCCACCCCACAUGUCUCGCUGCACAG